GACAGAGGCCCCAAGCGUUAGGCGGAAUCACUGGGCUUAAAGCGUGUGUAGGCGGAUUGGUAAGUACCUUGUGAAAUCCCACAGCUUAACUGUGGAACUGCUCGGUAUACUGCUGAUCUUGAGCCACUCAGGGGCUACCGGAACAAAUGGUGGAGCGGUGAAAUGCGUAGAUAUCAGGAAGAACACCGGUGGCGAAAGCGCUCUGCUAGGCCGCAACUGACACUGAGGGACGAAAGCUAGGGGAGCGAAUGGG
rnacentral:rRNA from 1 species